rnacentral:rRNA from 1 species
AUGCAGUCGAGCGGAUGAAGGGAGCUUGCUCCUGGAUUCAGCGGCGGACGGGUGAGUAAUGCCUAGGAAUCUGCCUGGUAGUGGGGGAUAACGUCCGGAAACGGGCGCUAAUACCGCAUACGUCCUGAGGGAGAAAGUGGGGGAUCUUCGGACCUCACGCUAUCAGAUGAGCCUAGGUCGGAUUAGCUAGUUGGUGGGGUAAAGGCCUACCAAGGCGACGAUCCGUAACUGGUCUGAGAGGAUGAUCAGUCACACUGGAACUGAGACACGGUCCAGACUCCUACGGGAGGCAGCAGUGGGGAAUAUUGGACAAUGGGCGAAAGCCUGAUCCAGCCAUGCCGCGUGUGUGAAGAAGGUCUUCGGAUUGUAAAGCACUUUAAGUUGGGAGGAAGGGCAGUAAGUUAAUACCUUGCUGUUUUGACGUUACCAACAGAAUAAGCACCGGCUAACUUCGUGCCAGCAGCCGCGGUAAUACGAAGGGUGCAAGCGUUAAUCGGAAUUACUGGGCGUAAAGCGCGCGUAGGUGGUUCAGCAAGUUGGAUGUGAAAUCCCCGGGCUCAACCUGGGAACUGCAUCCAAAACUACUGAGCUAGAGUACGGUAGAGGGUGGUGGAAUUUCCUGUGUAGCGGUGAAAUGCGUAGAUAUAGGAAGGAACACCAGUGGCGAAGGCGACCACCUGGACUGAUACUGACACUGAGGUGCGAAAGCGUGGGGAGCAAACAGGAUUA